UACGUAGGGGGCAAGCGUUGUCCGGAUUUAUUGGGCGUAAAGAGCGUGUAGGCGGCCUGGAAGGUCAGCUGUGAAAACUCGAGGCUCAACCUCGAGACGUCGGUUGAAACCACCUGGCUAGAGUCCGGAAGAGGAGAGUGGAAUUCCCGGUGUAGCGGUGAAAUGCGCAGAUAUCGGGAAGAACACCCGUGGCGAAGGCGGCUCACUGGCCCGGUACUGACGCUGAGGUGCGAAAGCGUGGGGAGCAAACAGG
rnacentral:rRNA from 1 species